rnacentral:rRNA from 1 species
ACGUAGCGAAAUGCGAUACUUGGUGUGAAUUGCAGAAUCCCGUGAACCAUCGAGUCUUUGAACGCAAGUUGCGCCCGAAGCCAUUAGGCCGAGGGCACGUCUGCCUGGGCGUCACGCAACGCGUCGCCCCCUCCGCACUCGCGGCGGGGGCGGAGGAUGGCCCCCCGCAUCCCUCCGGGGACGCGGCCGGCCGAAAUUCGGAAUCGCCCCGACGACGGGUCGUCGCGACAGGUGGUGGCGUCUAUCGGUAUCAUACCGUCGCGCUGGAACCCGUCCCGGAAAGCGGCUCCCCGACCCACGGCUACUCCCUCGAGAGAGGAGAAGGAGCAUCGACCGCGACCCCAGGUCAGGCGGGACUACCCGCUGAGUUUAAGCAUA